rnacentral:rRNA from 1 species
GAUGAACGCUGGCGGCGUGCUUAACACAUGCAAGUCGAAGGAAGCACUUUGAAAGCUUGCUUUUGGAGUGACUGAGUGGCGGACGGGUGAGUAACGCGUGGGUAACCUGCCUUAUACAGGGGGAUAACAGUUGGAAACGACUGCUAAUACCGCAUAAGCGCACAGUGCCGCAUGGCACAGUGUGAAAAACUCCGGUGGUAUAAGAUGGACCCGCGUCUGAUUAGCUAGUUGGUGAGGUAACGGCUCACCAAGGCGACGAUCAGUAGCCGGCUUGAGAGAGUGAUCGGCCACAUUGGGACUGAGACACGGCCCAAACUCCUACGGGAGGCAGCAGUGGGGAAUAUUGCACAAUGGGGGGAACCCUGAUGCAGCAACGCCGCGUGAGUGAAGAAGUAUUUCGGUAUGUAAAGCUCUAUCAGCAGGGAAGAUAAUGACGGUACCUGACUAAGAAGCCCCGGCUAACUACGUGCCAGCCGCCGCGGUAAAAC